rnacentral:lncRNA from 1 species
UAUCAACAAGCUGAACACGAGCAAGCUAGGCCGGCUCAUAUUCAACUGGUUUAGGGUUUUGGGUUUUGGGUUUUGGGUUUACGCGCUGAUUUGUUAAAAUAUCGAGUCAAAAAAUUUAGCUCGUAUUCGGUUCGUUUAACAUGAGCUGGCCAACAAGCAAUAAGUUAAAAGAAUUAAAUUUGAUAUAUAUAAAAAUUAAAUUUAUAAAAUCUUAUUCAUUAAACUUUGAUCAAAAUAUUAAAAUUUUAUAUAUAAAUGAGUUUUUUUAUAAUUGAACUCGGCUUUAUAUUUUUAUUUUACUAAAAAUAAAAUAAUAAAAAAUAUAAUUAUUUAUUUAAUAUAUAAAUAUAUAUAUAUAUGUAUAUUUAUAUAUUUGAAUUGAAUACAAGCUGGCUAGCGAACAACGAGAUGGAUUGACCUCCCCUUAUCCACGAGUACUCUGAAUUCAGAGCACAUAUGCCAUGCUCCAAAUUUAGGGCACCUAGCUCUUAUCGAAAUUCGCACCAACGAUGGAACCACCUCAACAAAAGGCCUGAUCAUCCUUUUUUUUUUUUGAGAGAGAGAUAGGUAGCACGCUAUCCGCUUCGUUUAUUUCAUUUAGAAAUAAACUUAGCUGCAAAUGUAAAUCACCGAAAUUUAAUUAUCUAUUAAUUUAUAUUAAUCUUUAAUAUUUUUUGGCUUGUAGCAAAUUGUCCUUCACACUUAUUAUUACUUGAUCCUUUCCAUUCUCUUGAUCAAACUUUCUAUUAAUACAUUUAAUUAAUUAAUAUUUAAUACAUCAAAAUGUUACCAUCUAUCUGUUAACUUAUAUAAAUUUCAAAUAUUUUUUGCCACGUGGCAAGUUAUUCUUUACCCUCAACAUCAUUUGAUCCUUUCCAUUACUUUCAUCAAACUUUCAAUUAAUACAUUUAAUUAAUUGAUACAUCUAAAUGUUACCAUCUAUCUAUCUAUUAUCUAUUAUUUAUUAUUUAUUAUCUAUAAUCUAUAAAUCCAUAAAUAAAUCUAUAUGAAUUCCUAAUAUUUUUUGCUGCAUGGCAAGUUGUCAUUCACCAUCACCAUCAUUUGAUUCUUUCUAUUUUUUUCUUCAAACUUUCAAUUAAUAUAUUUAGUUAAUUAAUACAUCCAAACGUUAUCAUUACCAAACUUUCAAUGGCAAGUUGUCCUUCAUCUUCACCAGUAUUUGACACUUUUUUUUUAUCAAACUUUCAAUUAAUACAUUUAAUUAAUACAUCUAAACGUUUUCACUACCAAACUUUUUCUCCAUCAGAUUUUUCAUCUCCAAUUAAGUCAUCAAUACUCUCUUCCUCACUUUUUCCCGUACACCGUAGCUUCCCUCCCUCCCUUUCUCACAAAUGCGCGCCUAUUAUCCGCAUCCGCCGUUGCCGAAGGAAUCGUCGUCAUUUUCACUAUCAGUAUCGCCAGAGAAAGCGUUGUCGGUUUCAUCCCUACUACCAAUAGUGAGUGAUCUCUCAUGAUUGUGUCAAGUAAGGAAUACAAGAGAAUAUUUGAUGUUAUCUUAUUAUUAAUUACUUUUAUAAUUUUUACCCGCUGUGAACCGCGGGUUCUUUCACUAGUUUAAUAUCAAAAUCAGAUUGCUAAAGAAAAGCGUGAGAUGUGUGUUAUA